CAUGGCGUCCAUUGGGCGGGUGUUCACCUCUUCCCAUCUCGAACAGAGCAGUUAAGCCCCGCACCGCUGAUGGUACUGAGUUCAUCCUCGGGAGAGUAAGUAGAUGCCAGGA
rnacentral:rRNA from 1 species